GCCCCGUUGGUGUAGCCCGGCCAAUCAUUUCGGCUUUUCGAGCCGAAGACGUGGGUUCGAAUCCCGCACGGGGCA
rnacentral:tRNA from 1 species